UAGGGAAUCUUCGGCAAUGGACGAAAGUCUGACCGAGCAACGCCGCGUGAGUGAAGAAGGUUUUCGGNUCGUAAAACUCUGUUGGUAGAGAAGAACGUUGGUGAGAGUGGAAAGCUCAUCAAGUGACGGUAACUACCCAGAAAGGGACGGCUAACUACGUGCCAC
rnacentral:rRNA from 1 species